rnacentral:rRNA from 1 species
CAUCUAAGUAGGGCGAGGAAGAGAAAUCAACCGAGAUUCCGCUAGUAGUGGCGAGCGAACGCGGAAGAGGCCAAACCGGAGGUAGCAAUAUUUCCGGGGUUAGGACUGCAACAUGUAACUUUAAUCUUUAACUGAAUGCUUUGGGAAGAGCAGCGAAACAGGGUGACAGCCCCGUAAGUGAAAAGGAUUGAGUGCUAGCAGUAUCCAGAGUACCAGCGGACACGUGAAACCCGCUGGGAAGAUGGGGGGACCAUCCUCCAAGCCUAAAUACUACUCAGUGACCGAUAGUGGAGCAGUACCGUGAGGGAAAGGUGAAAAGUACCCCGGGAGGGGAGUGAAAGAGAACCUGAAACCUUGUGCCUACAAGCACCGAGAGCACGUUAAAGUGUGAUCGGGUACUUUUUGUAGAACGGUCCGGCGAGUUAAUAUUUGCAGCGAGGUUAAGUAACUGGAGUUACGGAGCCGCAGCGAGAGCGAGUCUGAAUAGGGCGUAUGAAGUUGCAGGUAUUAGACCCGAAACCGGGUGACCUAUCCAUGAGCAGGCUGAAGCGGUGGUAAGACACCGUGGAGGGCCGCACCCACGUCUGUUGAAAAAGCCGGGGAUGACUUGUGGAUAGCGGAGAAAUUCCAAUCGAACUCGGAGAUAGCUGGUUCUCCCCGAAAUAGCUUUAGGGCUAGCGUUAUUUUAGAUUACCGGAGGUAAAGCACUGAAUGGUCUAGGGGCCGCGAGGUUACCAAAGCCUAUCAAACUCUGAAUGCCGGAUAAUUGAUGAAUAGCAGUCAGACUGUGUGAGAUAAGUCUCAUAGUCAAAAGGGAAACAGCCCAGAUCUACAGCUAAGGUCCCAAAUGAACACUAAGUGGAAAAUGAUGUGAAACUGCGAAGACAACCAGGAUGUUGGCUUAGAAGCAGCCACUCAUUCAAAGAGUGCGUAAUAGCUCACUGGUCGAGUGGUUUUGCGCAGAAAAUGUAACGGGGCUAAGUGUUCAACCGAAGCUUAGGCAUUGUACUUUGUACAUUGGGUAGGGGAGCGUCGUAUGCGGGGCGAAGUCAGAGCGGAAGCACUGGUGGACUGCAUACGAGUGAGAAUGCCGGAAUAAGUAGCGAGAAUUAUGUGAGAAUCAUAAUGGCCGAAAAUCUAAGGUUUCUUGGGGAAGGUUCGUCCGCCCAAGGUUAGUCGGGAGCUAAGCUCAGGCCGAAAGGCGUAGGCGAUGCACAUACGGUAGAAAUUCCGUAACCACCGAACAUUUAAGCUAGAGGGACGCUUUCUUUAAGGUUAUCCCGGGCGAUGGUUGCCCCGGGCGUAAGGGACCGAAAUUUAGUAGGGAAGUAACUGGCGAGAGAGACGAGAAAAGCUCUAGUGUAUACUAAGGUGCCCGUACCGCAAACCGACACAGGUAGAUGGGAUGAGUAUUCUAAGGCCAACGGGAGAAGGGUUGUUAAGGAACUCGGCAAAUUGGCCCCGUAACUUCGGGAUAAGGGGCGCCUGCGAGAGCAGGCCGCAGUGAAAAGGCCCAAGCGACUGUUUAGCAAAAACACAGCUCUCUGCUAAAUCGAAAGAUGACGUAUAGGGGGUGACGCCUGCCCGGUGCUGGAAGGUUAAGGGGAGUGCUUAGCGCAAGCGAAGGUGCGAACUUAAGCCCCAGUAAACGGCGGCCGUAACUAUAACGGUCCUAAGGUAGCGAAAUUCCUUGUCAGGUAAGUUCUGACCCGC